rnacentral:rRNA from 1 species
UACGUAGGGUGCAAGCGUUGUCCGGAAUUAUUGGGCGUAAAGAGCUCGUAGGCGGUCUGUCGCGUCUGCUGUGAAAUCCCGGGGCUCAACCCCGGGCUUGCAGUGGAUACGGGCAGACCAGAGUUCGGUAGGGGAGACUGGAAUUCCUGGUGUAGCGGUGAAAUGCGCAGAUAUCAGGAGGAACACCGGUGGCGAAGGCGGGUCUCUGGGCCGAUACUGACGCUGAGGAGCGAAAGCGUGGGGAGCGAACAGG